rnacentral:rRNA from 1 species
GACGUAGGGGGCGAGCGUUGUCCGGAUUUAUUGGGCGUAAAGCGCGUGUAGGCGGCCCGGUAAGUCCGCUGUGAAAGUCGGGGGCUCAACCCUCGGAUGCCGGUGGAUACUGUCGGGCUCGAGUACGGAAGAGGCGAGUGGAAUUCCUGGUGUAGCGGUGAAAUGCGCAGAUAUCAGGAGGAACACCAAUGGCGAAGGCGAGUCCCUGGACAAUUCCUGACACUGAGGCACGAAAGCUAGGGGAGCAAACAGG